rnacentral:rRNA from 1 species
UACGGAGGGUGCAAGCGUUAUCCGGAUUCACUGGGUUAAGGUGCGUAGUGGGCAGGUAAGUCAGUGGUGAAAUCUCUGACGCUUAACUCAGAAACUGCCGUUGAUACUAUCUGUCUUGGAAUAUAGUGGAGGUGGAGCGGAAUAUGUCAUGUAGCGGUGAAAUGCUUAGAUAUGACAUAGAACACCGAAUUGCGAAGGCAGCUCGGCUACACUAUCAUUGACACUGAGGCACGAAAGCGAUGGGGAUCAAACAGG